GAUGAACGCUGGCGGCGUGCUUAACACAUGCAAGUCGAACGGAAAGGCCCUGCUUUUGUGGGGUGCUCGAGUGGCGAACGGGUGAGUAACACGUGAGUAACCUGCCCUGGACUUUGGGAUAACCUCAGGAAACUGGGGCUACUACCGGCUAGGAGCUCGUGCUGCAUGGUGGGGUUUGGACAUUUUCGGCGGGUGGGGAUCGACUGGCGGCUUACCAGCUUGUUGGUGGGGUAGCGGCUUACGACGGCUUUGGCGGGUAGCCGGCCUGGGAGGUGGACCGGCGACAUGGGGACUGAGAGACGGCCCAGACGCCAACGGGGGGCAGCAGGGGGGAAUAUGGCACAAUGGGGGGAAGCCUGAGGAAGCAACGCCCCGUGCGGAAUGACGGCCUUGGGGUGGUAAACCGCAUUCGCCUGUGACGAAGCUUGUGUGACGGUACUGGGAGAAGAAGCACCGGCUAACUACGUG
rnacentral:rRNA from 1 species